rnacentral:lncRNA from 1 species
GUUUGGUUAUAAGUCUUAAGCACCUUGAUGAAAUUAGCACAUUCUCUCAGAAUAUCUUUUCCAGCCCACUUACACUCAUCCCUUCGGGAAUGAGAUACAGGCCAAACAAUCUUUUGAUAUUCCUUGAUGUUAACCAGGUUGAAAGAAAAUAUGUGGUCUUUUGCUCCAACAUACAGCCGACUUCGUUCUUCAUCCAAGAGGAAAGUAUGGUAACUGGAACUAUUAGCUAGUCCAUUGAAAUUGACUAUAUUAUUGGACUCCAACAUUUCUUUAUAGGAUAAUUUGAGUCUUGGCACGUUAUUCUUCACAUGCUGGCAGUUCACUCUUCCUGCUAGUAAUACUCCCAAGGAAAGCAAGGCAAUCCCCCUGAGCCAGCCCAUGCUGCAGCAGCCACUGUAGGGUCCCUGCGAGCCGGAGCCGCGGCGCUCCCCGUCCUGCCGGGCGCCGCCGGGGAACUUCAGGCAACCUGGGGAGCGGAGGAUGACUGCACCCUGCAGUGAGAUACCCAGCUGAAUGUAGGACGUGGGUCUGGGGCCAGUGCUGUUCUUGCCCAAGCAGGUCCUGUGCUGGGCAGCAGCUUCCUGAGGGCUGUCCCUGACCAGCAAGGUGUGAGUUAUGGAGCUGCAGUUCCAUGCAUUGUAAAGGGAGAAAAUACAGAAUUAAGCUACAUUAUGUAUAUGGGAUGGAUCAGACAAGGAUGUGGCUGUAUGGACCUGUUUUUUCAGAACGUCCAGUGUGAAGGACUCCCAGUCAGUCCAUGGUACAUGGUGCACAUCAGAAUAAGGCACGGAAGGAUGCAGCUGUUUUGUAGGUGAGACAGUGGCAUAUCCACAGCCAAAACAGAUGUCACAGAAACACUUUUAUUGAAUACAAAUGGAGAUUUGACUUCUCUAUGGAGCACUGUGACUGCCCUUCCCGGACCAGUGCAGCACAUCGACUGACAGAGCUCCAUACAGUCUUUGUGCACCAAAGUAACAAGGCCAACUUCUCUGCUCCACUUGCCCUGGUACAACAAUAUUUGUGAAUGAAUAAACUGAUUUCAAUUUCAAAUGAACAAUCCAGAUGAGCAGGUGCUCAAAGCUGAAUCCAAAUGAAAUAAACAGUUUCCCUGAGAUCUGAACAAAUAGCAAAUUUAUGCAUAAAGUUAUGGCUGUGAACUGUGAUUUUGCCACUUUCAUUUGGGUGUUGAAGACAGCAGUCAAGCUUCCCCAACAUGUCACAAACUGUUAUUGACAACACUGAGAAACCUGGAUAUGUGCAAAGCUCUCUGGCAUGUAUGCUAUCAUAAAAUUUAAAGUCUGACUUAAAGACAAAGAACUGUUGGUUUAUAGGCAUUUCUAUUUGUAUUUGGCAUUUCAGAUAGUAUGACAGCUUGAUCCAAAGACCAUUAAAGCAAAAUGUUACACUUCAAUUGCUUUCACUGAGCAAUGGGACACAGGGUCCUUAGGGAGUUGGAUGCUGCACACACCAAGUAAGCCUGCACCAAAAAUUUAUGAUUCAGAUGUCUGACCCAUUAGUGCAUAAACACACUUCAUAAUCUUACAAACAUCCUACAGUUAGUUGUGUCUGAAAGCUGAAGAUACUAGCAGUGUUUGGAACCAGACGACAAAAUAGUAACCACUAUUCACAGAUUUUAUAAAUGUAAAUCAUUAAAUUUGGUCAUCCAAAACCCUCAAAUGAAAAAAAAAAAAAACUACUUUGAAUACUCUGAUCCUUCUGAUUUUGGUUUAUGGAAGACAUAGGACAAUUAUUUUGGACAUAAACAGUACACUGCAUUGCUUAAUAGAUCUCCAAAACUCCGUAUCCACAGUUUUGGAUUGAUAGUAAGACAGAUCAAGCAUCAAAGGGUAUGCAUGUUUGAAUGCACAAAGAAUUUCCUUUGCUAGUACCUUAUGGAGGUGGACUUAUCUGCACUUCUAUUUACAAGUUGCUCUGUUCAAAAGACUAAGAACUAUGGAAUGCAACAACAACAACAACAAAACCUCAAGAAAUUCUGUUAAAAAUUUGCAAACACUUUCGUGAUUUUGAUUUUGUUGUUUAUACCUCAGGCUGCAGAUGAUGUAUAUCGUUUAGUUGAUUAUCGUUUGCAAAGAAAUGUCACAUACAUUGUUGCCAUGUAAAGCAAAUUCAUUUUCUUUGUUUUCUUCUAUUUAUUGUUAUUGUUAUUUUUAAUAGACAUUCUUUCACUAUAAUGCUGCUUUGACAACUUGUUCCAAGGGACCUUAGUCAUCAGAAAACAAGUAGUUCUGAUUUUUCUUCACUGUUAGCUAGAUGUUUGUGGUUUUAAAUCCAAAGGCUCAUUACAUUCUCCCAGUUUUACAUUAUCUCCUCUCUCAGUAAAAUAUUUCACCCCAGAUGUACACACUGAAAACACACUGUGGCCAUUCUUGAACACUUAAAGAAGAACAGGAGAACAGGAGUUGUCUGGAUGAGGAGCUAAGACAUAUGGUUUAGUAGCUUGUAGCAAUGGUAAUGGGAGUAUGAUUGGACUAGAUGUUCUUGUAGGUCCUUUCCAACCUUGUGAUUCUAUAAUUCUAUGAUUCUAUGAGAGAUAUUUGAACUAUCAAUUAAUGAGAAGAAACCUCAGCUCUCCAGAAUGGUAUGAAUUUGCUCAUUGAUCACAGCAAACUACACUGUAAUAUUUAAGUAAUGUUUGUGGAAAGUACACAUCCUAUUGCACAGGUACGGUCUGUGAUACUUGCUUUUGGAUUCCAACCAUCAAAUGUUUAUUCAUGUCUCUGUCACUCUGAAGAUGAGUUAUUGUUCAGCUCUCCAUCUUGGUCCCUAUAAGCCACUGUGAAACUGCUGCUGGUGCAAGAAAUAUUUAAUAAAGACACAGUUUUGUACAAACUGGUGCUUUACUGGCUAAAUCUGUACACAAUAUUUUUGACCUCAAGUAAUUCAUAAUGUUGGAGAAGCCUGGAAAUUUAUGCCACACUCUUUUGAGGAACGGAAGGAAGUAUUCAGGUUCAAAACAAGUAAACAUAAUUUCUUAUAUGAUAUAUUUCAAUGACUCUAUUAUUGAAGUCCAAGAAGCCAUAAUUCACCACUGCUGUCAUGAGCAGGUUUCACUGAUUAUGCAAGAAUGCUAAAAAGCUGUUUUUCAUAUUAAUAGAAAGAGUAACUAUUGUACAGCUCACACAUUUGAAAACAGAGAUGUUGUCCGUCAAG